AAGUCGGGCCUGCCCACUGAGUAAGAGAACGGCCGUAUUACCCUAUCCGUGCGCGGAAAAAAACCAGUUGUUUCUUAAAGGGGGACCGGUAGGAAUGGCUCCACGAGGGUUCAGCUGUCUCUUACUUUAUCCAGUUUUUCCUGCCCGUGAAGAGGCGGGAAUUUCACAGCAGGACGAGAAGACCCUAUGGAGCUUUAUUUAUUUAUGAAACAGAUUUACCUACAAACCCUUUGUCCUAAACUACCAUUAUAUUCGGUUGGGGCGACCUCGAGCAGUAAAAGACUUCCCAGUCAAAGCGAACUAUUAUACUCAAUUGAUCCAAUUUCUAGAUCAAAGGAUCAAGUUACCCAAGGGAUUACAGCAUUCCUAUUCAAGAGUCCAUAUCAACAAUAUGGUUUACGACCUCGAUGUUGGAUCAAAGCAAUACCAUGGUGCAUCCGCUAUAUUAAUAAGUCUGUUCGACUUUAUAAUUCUUAC
rnacentral:rRNA from 1 species